rnacentral:rRNA from 1 species
UACGGAGGGUGCAAGCGUUACUCGGAGUCAUUGGGCGUAAAGCGCACGUAGGCGGUCUUUUAAGUCCGGCGUGAAAUCCUGGGGCUCAACCUCAGAUGGCCGUUGGAAACUGAAAGACUUGAGUGUGGAAGGGGUCAGUGGAAUUCCUGGUGUAGGAGUGAAAUCCGUAGAGAUCAGGAGGAACACCGGUGGCGAAGGCGACUGACUGGGCCAUUUCUGACGCUAAUGUGCAAAAGCGUGGGGAGCAAACAGG